rnacentral:piRNA from 1 species
UAGGUUGGUUUUCAAACCCCAGUGUCCUAG